rnacentral:rRNA from 1 species
GACGAACGCUGGCGGCGUGCUUAACACAUGCAAGUCGAACGGAAAGGCCCUGCUUUUGUGGGGUGCUCGAGUGGCGAACGGGUGAGUAACACGUGAGUAACCUGCCCUUGACUUUGGGAUAACUUCAGGAAACUGGGGCUAAUACCGGAUAGGAGCUCCUGCUGCAUGGUGGGGGUUGGAAAGUUUCGGCGGUUGUGGAUGGACUCGCGGCUUAUCAGCUUGUUGGUGGGGUAGUGGCUUACCAAGGCUUUGACGGGUAGCCGGCCUGAGAGGGUGACCGGCCACAUGGGGACUGAGAGACGGCGCAGACUCCUACGGGAGGCAGCAGUGGGGAAUAUUGCACAAUGAGCGGAAGCCUGAUGCAGCAACGCCGCGUGCGGGAUGACGGCCUUCGGGUUGUAAACCGCUUUCGCCUGUGACGAAGCGUGAGUGACGGUAAUGGGUAAAGAAGCACCGGCUAACUACGUG